rnacentral:lncRNA from 1 species
CUCAUAGUAAUUAUAUAUUCAUCAACUCAAUUCCAUAUCAUCAUCUCAUCAAAUUACACGUAGUCCUCCAAAAAUGUACCCUCUGACUAAAAUAUGUAAUUCGUCUCUCAAGUUAAGCACUUUCGCCAUGGGUCCUUGACCCUCUCCGUGAACGAAAUCCGGUCUCAAGACCUCUGGUAAUCAAUUAUAGAACACGGUUAAGACCCCUUUGUAAAUUAGAAGAAGUAUAUAAUCACGAAAAUUUUUCUGGUCGAUCUCAAUAUCACAUAUCACAUUCCAUUUCAUAAGUAAUACAUGUACAAUCUUAAUGAUUCCACAUAUAUCAUAACGAAGGAACCUUUUAUAAUAAUCAUGUAAUUGUACAAGACAUUUACAUAAUUGCACAUCAUGUAAUAGUAUAAUUACUCUAUUGAUUUUUAAAAAUAUUCCACUCACAAAUUUAUGGAUAGAAAUCUGAUUUGACG